rnacentral:lncRNA from 1 species
GACGCCUCACAUUUAGGUUGGGGCCUAUCCUUAGUAAGCCUGCCCUUAUUGCCAACCAACCCAAGGAUGAAACUCACUCUUGAAAUGUUGUGGACAUACCAGACCAGUCCAGCCUAUGGUGGCUUUUAAUAAGUUUAGGCCAAUUAGGUUAAUAGUUUACUAUUCUUCUUGGGCCCCUUUGGCCAGGUGACAAAUGUUUAGCUUCUCGG